rnacentral:rRNA from 1 species
UUGAAAGGGAAACGAUUGAAGUCAGCGUACCAGCGGGAAAUCAACCUUUCGAGUGGGGUUUUGGAGUUUUGAAGUGUGUCAAAACCUUUGAGAUUCCNAAAUUUUCGCUCUUUUGGUGUACUUUCUCGUGGGUAGGUUAACAUCGAUUUUGAUCAUCAUAAAAAGAUUGGAGGAAUGUAGCUUCGAUCUUGUAUUGAAGUGUUAUAGCCUUUGGUAAAUGUGAUGAUUAGGAUCGAGGAUUGUAACGAAUACCCUUUUGGGCUAUCCGCCUGAUCUCUAAUCGGUGUUGGUAUCGAAAGCUUGCUUAUGGUAUUAAGGUAUUACGGUCAAAAGGUUAGAACGGAUUACAUUCGUUAAGGAUGUUGACGUA